rnacentral:rRNA from 1 species
UACGAAGGGGGCUAGCGUUGCUCGGAAUUACUGGGCGUAAAGCGCACGUAGGCGCUUUCUAAGUCGGGGGUGAAAUCCUGGAGCUCAACUCCAGAACUGCCUUCGAUACUGGAGGGCUUGAGUGCGGGAGAGGGAUGUGGAAUUCCAGGUGUAGCGGUGAAAUGCGUAGAUAUCUGGAGGAACACCGGUGGCGAAGGCGGCAUCCUGGACCGACACUGACGCUGAUGCGCGAAAGCCAGGGGAGCAAACGGG